rnacentral:misc_RNA from 1 species
CAGCGGUCUGACGACUUGACCAAACCAAACCGUGAACCUUUACCCAUCAAAAAAGGAUGCUUCGGCGGGUCGCUCGCUGGGGGAGCUCUGGGCCGCUUGACGGUGGCCCGCCGGAAGCAUGCCGAACCAAAACUAUUUUACUUGCAAAAAUUCUGAGAAUACUUUCUAAAAGAGUUAUCA